GGUAGUGUGGCCGAGCGAGGCAGUGAGUUGUAGCCUCACCUACUGGGUCUACCCACGCUAUCAAGCC
rnacentral:tRNA from 1 species